UACGAAGGGGACUAGCGUUGUUCGGAAUUACUGGGCGUAAAGCGCACGUAGGCGGAUUGCUAAGUCAGGGGUGAAAUCCCGGGGCUCAACCUCGGAACUGCCUUUGAUACUGACAAUCUCGAGUCCGAUAGAGGUGGGUGGAAUUCCUAGUGUAGAGGUGAAAUUCGUAGAUAUUAGGAAGAACACCGGUGGCGAAGGCGGCCCACUGGAUCGGUACUGACGCUGAGGCACGAAAGCGUGGGGAGCAAACAGG
rnacentral:rRNA from 1 species